AUUCUUCAGAAAGAAAAGCCUAAAUAAGGAUUUGUUCAACGGACCAUAACCAUUCAUGGCUCAAAGAGGGUUAUACUACUUUUGUGCCUGGAAACGUUUCUAGCAAAGUCUUCAUUUCCUGGACCAAAGGAUGUGUGAUUUAUGCGAAGAUCUGCCCUCCUGUUGCCUCAUGGGCUGGGACCUUUGGAGAGACUCUUUGUGUAUUCUCAAGAAAGGCUUAGUAUUUAGAAGGUGCUCCGUAAGUGCUGAGUGAUGAUAAUGAUGAAUUAGGCUCAGGUUGGGGUCUGGGUGACUGAAUGCCAUUCACAGCAAAGUGGCCUAUUUUGCCAUCUAUGGGAAGCAGGGGAAGUCUGUUUCACUUUUUUAGCAUAGCCUUGCUGGUCUUGGGCAAGACAUGUCUCUGGGCUAAAGUUGCCUCAUCUGCAAAAUGAAGUGAUGGUCUAAAUGACCUCCAAGUCCCCCCUCAACCCCGGUUAUAAUUUAGGACUCACUUCGGUGGGAAAUUUGGGUUCCACUGUGUGCAUUAAGAAUUUUCCACAGAAUAGUCUAUCACAACUUAAUUUUUUCCAUAGACUAAAGCUUUCAUGCCUGUGUGGAAAUGAUUGUAGAUACUUUUCUGACUUGGAUACCCUGAACCAGGGCUUUUCAAAUUUGGGUGCACAGGCUGCCCACUGUACAACUCUAGGGGGCACCCUUCACAUAGACUGUAAAGUGAAUGCCAACCCCCCAACCCUAAGUUAUGCAACAUUGUUACCCUGCCUUGAAAAUACAAUAUAUUUUCUUUCCUGCUAGUGAACAGAUUCAUGAUGUUAGAUUUUUUUAAACUCCUGUUUGCUGAAAUUCUGCCAACUUCUUCUUUCAGACUCCUUUUCUGAGAAGACUCUUUCCCUGAUUCUCUUCCAAAGCCCUGAUUAGAAUGAAACUAACAUCUAUUUGAAAAGGUAAUCAUUCUCACUCAGAUGAGUUCUGCUC
rnacentral:lncRNA from 10 species